rnacentral:lncRNA from 1 species
GGAGCUCGAGGAGGAGAUGAAAGUGAAUCAUCCUCAUUUAUUCGAGGAUUGAGCUGAGGUAUGAAGUUAAAGAUCAAUUUUGGUAUCGUCGAAUUCAUUUCGAGGACGAAACUCUUUUAAGGUAGGGAGAAUGUAAGGGAAGUGAAUUCUCGAAAUCCGGGGAUUAGACUUCGUUGGGAAUCGAUUGAUUGUCGAGUGUGUAAGCUUCGGAAAGUCCGAAGGUGGUUAUAAUGCAUAAAGUGUAUUGAGGAAAUGUCCGCGAGAGCACAGUGCAA